UUGUGAUGUCAUCCUCCUAUCGGUUUCUUGCGGCGCCGCAUGAAUUCAAACAAGCAUUUUAACGAUCACCUGUGUUUGCACUCGCUUCGCUGUCGACGCAGAUUCAUGUGAUUUUCGUCAAAAUGUGGAGAAAGGAAAACCAACAACCAAGUGCAGGCUCUUUCUCCAUGUUUCCGGUCAAUCAAAGGAAGAGGAGCCGUCUGCCCUUGACAUCUAAUCCCUCUGAGAAUGAAAGUUUUUCUCCCAACUACUACAGUGAGAUGGAAACAUCCUCAUUUUAUGGUCCACCCAUGAAGUUGAGGAAUUUGACAGAGCAGUUUCCAAAAGACUGAAAAAAGAAGGAAAUGUCACCUGCAGGAACAAGAUGAUGUUCAGGUGAUUGUUCAAUAAA